CAGAUUUGGUUCUGGUUUCUAUUAUAAAGCUAUUGUUGAUGAUACAUGCAAAUCGUGUUGGCUAGUGAGGACACAAAUACAUAGAAAUUUAAAAUUUCUUGCGCUUGUAGUAUAGAACGAUUUUAUACUUAGUAAAACCACUCCAUAUAGGUAAAUAGCAGUACUUAAUUUUGGCCAGACGCGAGAGCGUGCGUCAGCUAGUAAUAUUACAGUGUGGCUAAUACUGUGCCAGCCGCCGCGGUUACACCCUAACAUUAAUUUAUAAUAUUCAGUAUUGCAAAUGACAAGUGUAUAAUACGAGUCGGGGAAAAGCUGCGGUCGAAUGCGCUUAAUCUGAAGUCUCUUAUUGUUUAUUUGCACGGUUAAAGGGGAGAAACCAGGAUUAGAUACCCUGUUAUUCCUUUACAGUUAAUUUGUGGUGAGUACAGAUGUUGUCUAAAAACCAAAGAUUUUGGCAGUGGCUAAGGCCUGCUCAGAGGAAUUUGUUCCGUUCAUCGACACUCCGCGAGGAUCUUACUUCACUUUGUAUUCAGCUUAUAUACCGCCGUCGUCAGUUAAUACUUUUUAGGUUUAAGAAAUUAACAAAAAGAUGUAGUUCUUAACGUCAGGUCAGGGUGUAGCUAAUAGUGAAGGGUAGAAUGAAUUACAGUUAUCUUAAGUUAACGAAUAUCCCUUAGUACUGGUGAUUGAAGUUGGAUUUGGUAGUAAUGAGGCAAUAGUAUGGCCAAUUGAUUAAAGCUCUUAGCUAUGCACACACCGCCCGUCAUUUUCCUGAACCAAUAAAGGAAAGAAGUCGUAACAAGGUAGGGUAUCCGGAAGGAUCCCCUGGAUAAU
rnacentral:rRNA from 1 species